GUGAGUAAUGGGUAGGAAGAUAGCAGAGAGAGGGGGAUAGCAGUAGGGGAAGAGUGUUAAUACCGCAUAAUGUCUACGGACCAAAGUGUGGGACCUUCGGGCCACAUGCUAUCGGAUGCGCUUACGUGGGAUUAACUAGGUGGUGAGGUAAUGGCUCACCAAGGCGACGAUCCCUAGCUGGUUUGAGAGGAUGACCAGCCACACUGGAACUGAGACACGGUCCAGACUCCUACGGGAGGCAGCAGUGGGGAAUAUUGGACAAUGGGCGCAAGCCUGAUCCAGCCAGGCCGCGUGUGUGAAGAAGGCCUUCGGGUGUAAAUCAAGGACAGUAGGGAGGAAGCGUUGAGUGUUAAUAGUACUCAGCGUUGACGU
rnacentral:rRNA from 1 species